CUAGCCGUAAACGAUGGAUACUAGGCGUUGUGAGUAUCGACCCUCACAGUGUCGUAGCUAACGCGUUAAGCAUCCCGCCUGGGGAGUACGCGCGCAAGCGUGAAACUCAAAGGAAUUGACGGGGGCCCGCACAAGCGGUGGAGUAUGUGGUUUAAUUCGAUGCAACGCGAAGAACCUUACCAGGACUUGACAUGUCGCGAAUCUCAGGGAAACUUGAGAGUGCCUUCGGGAGCGCGAACACAGGUGGUGC
rnacentral:rRNA from 1 species